CCUACGGGGAGCUGCAGUGGGGAAUAUUGCACAAUGGGGGAAACCCUGAUGCAGCGACGCCGCGUGAGUGAAGAAGUAUUUCGGUACGUAAAGCUCUAUCAGCAGGGAAGAAAAUGACGGUACCUGACUAAGAAGCCCCGGCUAACUACGUGCCAGCAGCCGCGGUAAUACGUAGGGGGCAAGCGUUAUCCGGAUUUACUGGGUGUAAAGGGAGCGUAGACGGCAGCGCAAGUCUGGAGUGAAAUCCCAUGGCUUAACCAUGGAACUGCUUUGGAAACUGUGCAGCUAGAGUGCAGGAGAGGUAAGCGGAAUUCCUAGUGUAGCGGUGAAAUGCGUAGAUAUUAGGAGGAACACCAGUGGCGAAGGCGGCUUACUGGACUGUAACUGACGUUGAGGCUCGAAAGCGUGGGGAGCAAACAGGAUUAGAUACCCUGGUAGUC
rnacentral:rRNA from 1 species